rnacentral:rRNA from 1 species
AUUGAACGCUGGCGGCAGGCCUAACACAUGCAAGUCGGGCGAGCGGCGGAGGGGUGAGUAAUGUAUGGGGACUGCCUGAUGGAGGGGGAUAACCACUGGAAACGGUAGCUAAUAACGCACAACAGCCGAGAACCCAUAUGGGAUUAGCUUGUAGGUGCGGAAAUGGCUCACCUAGGCGACGAUCCCUAGCUGGUCUGAGCUGAUGACCAGCCACCCUGGGACUGAGCCACGGCCCAUACCCCUUCGGAGGCAGCAGUGGGGAAUGUUGCACAAUGGGCACACGCCUGAUCGAGCCAUGCCGCGUGUAUGAAGAAGGCCUUCGGGUUGUAAAGUACUUUCAGUCGGUAGGCGUUACCGACCGAAGAAGCACCGGCUAACUCCGUGCCAGCAGCCGCGGUAAUUC